UACGUAGGGGGCCAGCGUUGUUCGGAAUUACUGGGUGUAAAGGGUUCGUAGGCGGUGUGGCAAGUUGGGAGUGAAAUCUCUGGGCUCAACCCAGAGACGGCUUCCAAAACUGCCGUGCUUGAGUGUGGGAGAGGCUCGUGGAAUUGCAGGUGUAGCGGUGAAAUGCGUAGAUAUCUGCAGGAAUACCCGUGGCGAAAGCGGCGAGCUGGACUGCAACUGACACUGAAAAACGAAAGCCAGGGGAGCAAACGGG
rnacentral:rRNA from 1 species